CAUAGGUCCUACAUAGUUUCGGGGUUUAAUUUCGCGCGCUUUCUCAGAUAGUUUGUAUAGUUGGGCUCGUGGAGCAAGCCUGCGUUUCAAUCGAAGAGCUUACGGUUGGCGGGAAGCGCGCCAUGGAAAACGAAGACGAAACUGUACUGCACAGACCAGCAUCUAUGCCAUUCUAUAGAAGGCAGGUAGAAGCGCCUG